GGCCAUUCCUCCCCCCCCCCACCACCACCCCCCGACUGUAAAGAAUUCAGUCAGAUAAAUGUGUCAGAUAAUUCGGAUCCUUGUGUGCUCCCAGCAACCAUCAAAGUCAGAGUCAACAGAAGGAUCGUCGUGGUUACAGGAACCCCCAGCUGCGGGUUAUUGUCAACAGAAUGGAGCGGUAUGAGCUGCAGCACUUCCAGAUGUGACUUGUACAGCGGUCCCCAACCACCGGGCCACGGACUGGUACCGGGCCGCAAAGCAUGCGCUACUGGGCCACGAGGAAACGAUAUGAUUUGGCGAUAGGAGUCAGCUGCACCUUUCCUCAUUCCCUGUCACGCCCACUGUUGAGCUUGAACGCACGCGAGGUCAUUACCCGCACGUCAUCCAUGUCAGUGUGGGAAGGAGAUCAACUCCUCGAGCUUGCAAAUGACGACGGGCUGAAAAGUAUGUUUGACAUAACAUCUCUGCCGGCAUUUUAGAUCAAAGUCAAGGCUAAAUAUCCUGAGAUAGCCACAAAAGCACUGAAAACGUUGCUUCCAUUUCCAACAUAUCUCUGCAAUGAAUGCAAUGAAAACUAAAUUGCAGAAUAGACUGGACAUAAGGAACCCAUUCGAGUAUCGCUGUCUCCCAUCACCCCUCGAUGGCACCGUCUUGUUGCAGGGAAACAAGCCCAGGGCUCCCCCUGAUUCAGCGAUAUUGAACUUGGACUGCGCGAAUCACAUCUGCUCGUAGAGAUUGGACUGUGCAAAUUCCUUCUUGUGAAACAGAUUGGACUAUGUCAAUCACCCCUGGAUGUAAAGCUUGUGUCUGCAUGAAUCGCCUCAUGGAGCUUGGUUUCUGUGAAUUGCCUCACAACACAGAGCAGGGUUUGUAGAACAGUUAUUUUUAAGGCGCAGACUCAGACUAUUGCAUAAAAUGCAUGAGUCACCCCUGUGUCCAUAACUCAGGCUGUUUUAAGUGACAGUGUAGAACUCCAACUGUGUGAAUCAGAAUCAGGCUUCAUAUCGCUGGCAUAUGUCGUGAAAUUUGUUGUUUAGCAGUAGCAGUACAAAGCAAUAAGCUAUAAAUUACAGUAAGAAAAUAUAUUUAAAAGAAAAUUAACUAAGUAGUGCAAAAAGAGAGCAAAAAUAGUGAGGUAGUCUACAUGGGUUCGUUAUCCAUUUAGAAAUCCGAUGGCAGAGGGGAAGAAGCUGUUCCUAAAACAUUGAGUGUGAUUCUUCAGGUUCCUAUACCACCUUCUUAAUGGUAGUAAUGAGAAGAGGGCGUGUCCUGGGUGAUGGGGGAUCCUUAAUGGUGGAUGCUGCCUUCUGAGGCAUUGCCUUUUGAAGAGCAGAAUCAGAAUCAGGUUUAUUGUCACCAGCAUGUGAUGUGAAAUCUGUUAAUUUUGCAGCAGCAUUUCAAUGUGAUACAUCGUCUAGCAGAGAGAAAAUAUAAUAAUAAUAAUAAAUAAACAAGUAAAUCAAUUGCAUAUAUUGAAUAGAUUUUUUUUAAAUGUGCAAAAGCAGAAAUACUGUGUAUUUUUUAAAAAAGUGAGGUAGUUUCCAAAGUUUCAAUGUCCAUUUAGGAAUCAGAUGGCAGAGGGGAAGAAGCUGUUCCUGAAUCACUGAGUGUGUGCCUUCAGGCUUCUGUACCUCCUACCUGAUGGUAACAGUGAGAAAGGGGCAUGCCCUGGGUACCGGGGGUCCUUAAUAAUGGACGCUGCCUUUCUGAGACACCGCUCUCUAAAAAUGUCCUGGGUACUUUGUAGGCUAGUACCCAAGAUGGAGCCGACUAGAUUUACAACCUUCUGCAGCUUCUUUUGGUCCUGUGCAGUAGCCCCUCUAUACCAGACAGUGAUGCAGCCUGUCAGAAUGCUCUCCAUGGUAUAACUAUAGAAGAUUUUUAGUGUAUUUGUUGACAUGCCAACUCUCUUCAAACUCCUAAUAAAGUAUAGCUGCUAUCUUGCCUUCUUUAUAACUAUAUAGAUAUGUUGGGACCAGGUUAGAUCCUCAGAGAUCUUGACACCCAGGAACUUGAAGCUGGUCACUCUCUCCACUUCUGAUCCCUCUAUGAGGAUUGGUAUGUGUUCCUCUGUCUUACCCUUCCUGAAGUCCACAAUCAGCUCUUUUGUCUUACUGACGUUGAGUGCCAGGUUGUUGCUGCGGCACCACUCCACUAGUUGGCAUAUCUCACUCCUGAGAUUCUACCAACAAUGUUCUCGAUGCUGGAGAGGCUAGUGCCUAUGAUGGAGAUGGCUGGGUAUAUAACUUUUUCCAGUCCUGUAGAGUGGCCCUCCAUACAAGACGGUUGAGAUCUCGGUGUAGAUCAGAAUCAGAAUCCUUUAUUAUCGCCAAGUACGUGGACACAUACAGGGAAUUUGAUGCCGGUUUCCCUGAGCUCUCGCUGUACAGAAUCAAAAAAACAAACAAAACAAUAGUGCAAAUAAUCAUGAACUAUAUACAAUGAGGUAUACCUGUGUAUGUACAGGUGGACUUGGUUUAUAAUAGACGAAAAUUCAAGUAUUCAUAAGACUGAUGGCAUACGGAAAGAAAUUGUUCUUGUACCUAUUUGUCCUGGCAUACAGUGAUCUAAAGCGCCUACCAGAAGGAAGGAGUUGGAACAGGUGAUGUCCAGGGUGUGAUGGGUCUACAAUGAUGCUGCUUGCUCGCUUUCUGACUCUAGAUGCAUAUAAGUCCUGGAUCGAGGGCAGCUUCACACCAAUAGUCCUUUCCGCAGCCCUGAUGGUUCUUUGGAGUCUAUUCUUGUCUUGUUUGGUAGCUGAUCCAAACCAGACAGUGAUGGACGAACAGAGAACAGACUGGAUUAUUCCUGAACAGAAUUGAAUCAGCAGCUCCUGAGGCAGGUUGUACUUCUUGGGUUGACGUAGGAAAUACAACCUCUGCUGAGCCUUUUUGAUAAGAGUGUCCGUGUUGGGUGUCCACUUCAGGUCCUGGGAGA